UCUCGUAGCACACUCUGUAUUGUUCGAAGUUGAGAGAGAAGGAGCCCGAGUCUCCGAGGUGGCGUUGGGUGGGGGCGCCACUAGCUCCAGUUCGCUCGACGUCUCUAGAGGGAAGGGCGCCAGUGGGAGCAGGAGAGUCUGCACCGGGCAGGCCUCCUUAGGUGCCGCGUUGCGCGUAGGGCCCUGUGCUUGCCUCGCCUCCGGUUGGCUCAGGCCUCGGAGCAUGAGUGCGCCGGCAACUGCUGGGCCCGGGACAGUGAAGCAGAGGAGGAGGUGGGGGAGGCGAGCCCAGGGCAGGGAAGGGCAACCCUUAAAUCACCCGUGGGGCACAGAGCUGGCCGGCUCCAGCCGUGGCCUGGCGAUGCAGCCCCGGGGUUCUCCCGCUCCCCGCUGGCCCGAGGGCGCACCACGUGCUGGGCAGAGACUUCGGCGAGGCCGAGUGGACCCUGCAGCUCCGCUUGGGAAAGGGCACCUUGGACUACCUGGUGGGGGCGCUGUGCUUCGUUACCCAGCGCCGGGACGCCAACCCACGGUGCCCACCUGUUGCAAGGUCACACGGAUGUCUGCAGGCAGAGGUGGGGCUGCUGGGGCCCUGCCAGGUGGGAUAGGAGCAUCCCAGGUGCUGCAAGGGUUUAAUCGGGCUCUUCUGCUGGCCCUGAAUACGGUGGACAGGACAGGACAUUCUCAUUGCUCGGGAGCCACUGGCGCUGCCUUUGGGAAUGAAAUUCCACAGCCUCCCACUCAUGGCUUUGUCUGCUGCAUCUGAAACUGUAGGAGGAUCAGGAGGAAGGCUGCAGGGCAGCUGCUUCCGGCUCGCUGAGACCCAGCCAUGGAAAGCACAGAAAGGCAUGUGACAAGAAACUCAUGGCUUUUAAUCCUGGCAGGACAAGGAAAACCCCAAGUCAAAGAUACACAUAUAUUUUGCUACUCUCCUCUUGGGGGAACAGUUCGUCACAUUUAAUAAAACUCUCUCCCCUCCCUCCUCCCAA